UCUUCUCUGAUCUAAGAUAUUAAGGAUUAAUCUUCUUUUUCUUUCAUUUUUCUUUUGAAAAAAAAAUUUUUUUUUAUAUCAUAAUAUAAUUAUCAAUCAAAUCAUUCUCCGCAGUAAUAGCAUUCUUUAUUAGAGCUAUACUUUUAAAACAAAUUUCUAAUCAAUUUACUGUGGUGCUAGUUAUAUUAAUUAUUUUUAACUAGGGAAGGAAGGAAAGGACGAGAGAGAGAGAGAGAGAGAGAGAGAGAGAGAGAGAGAGAGAGAGAGUAAAUUUUCCACGUUAAAAAGCGUGGCGUGUUGAAAUAUACGAUGUAUUAAAUAUCUACGAUGCAGGAGAAACAUCGGGGAACUAGUUUUCCAAAGUAAUGCAAUUCUAAUGUUAAAAAAAUCAUUCAACUUUCGCGUUAGAAAAUAAAAAAAAAACAAAAAGGAAAAAAAGAAACAAGACGAGCAUGAGUUUCUUCAAGUCCCAAGAGAAGAAGUUUCCACAAGACGGGUCUUUUCUCUCAGGAUGGUGGAAAAGGCCCUAAAGGAAUUUUCAAGCUUGUCACGUUCGUGGACUCACACCUACGAAAUUUCCACGUACUCGCGGUCGUUGAGUAUCCUGGCAGCUUUCAACGGCUUGGAAGCUCGCAUUUACGUUGAAACGAAAAGGCCUUAACAAGGAUGAACGUGGAAUGAGAGAAAAAGAAAGACAGAGAGAGAGAGAGAGAGAGAGAAAAUAAAAAAGAAAGACUGAAAGAAAGAAAGAAAGAAAGAAAGAAGGAAAGAGGAAACAGUCCAUUUGAGAUAACAUCUUUCUCUCUUUAAAUACUACACGACGAUGCGAUAUCUCGUUCGACCGUCAAUGCGUCUGGGUUAGCAGAAAAGCUUUCUCCAUUCGAAUUUCUUGUCUCUCGUAUUUCUCACGUGCAUCACAUUGAAUGUCUACACACGCAGAGGUAAUGUAAAGAAAAAACGUGAUGGAGAUAGAGAGAAAGAGGGAAGUACAUUGGUCUCUUCGACGUCGAACGCAUCUUCCAAAAGUAAACUCUGUGCGAAUCGGGACAAUACGGUAUAUAUAUAUAUAUAUAUAUAUAUAUAUAUAUAUAUAUAUAUAUAUGUAUAUCUUUAUCUUUAUCUUUUUCUCUCUAUCUCUGUUUAGUCGUUACGGUUCCCAAAGGACGAAUCCGGAGAUUAGUGUCGUGUUCUUCGGCGCUGACGUAACGCGACGCCCUGUUCAUCCUUUUCUCGCGAGGUAACACACUAGUUUCCCCUUCGCUUGUAUCCAGCAAACAUUGUUACUUAUCCGAUAUCCAAAGACCAAAGAAA